AUAACCCGACCCAUUUUUAUGAUUACACAUAACAUUGUACGUGUUUCCUAAACCUAAUCCCAUUGUCGUCGCAAAAUUAUCUCCUGCACCUGAAAAUUGUUGUCCAUCGCCAUUCAAAGCUAAGUCUUGCAGCUCUUGUGAAUUACUGAUCAUCUAGCAUAGUUUACUCCUACUAUUGACCUUGCCAGCUCUCAAAAUUGAAGGAUUCUUCUGCUCCUGUUGUUUCCUCUUCUUUAACAUCUCUUUGUGGCUGUAGAUGUACUCUCUGGUGUAAGAGUUGAAGAUCCCCUUGAUGUAUUGUUUUGAGAGAGCAUUCAUAGGAAUUAUUUGAAAACUGAGUAAGUACACAUCCAUCAUUUUCCUCCAACCUUCAUUAGUAGCUUCCGCUGCUCUUUGAAAUUUCACUCCCUUUUUGCAAUUGUUGUAGUAAUUAAGCUCCCGAGAAACUCAAAUCCACAUGCAAACCAGGUUUUCUACACUCCAUCAUCUGCGUUGAUCUUCCUCUUUGACCGACCUUUAUCUGUUAUGACUUAAGGGCUAGAUCUAGAACAUUCAAAGCUCAAUUUGUCAUUUGUAUGUAUUGUCCUAUAGGUAUUUGCAAACUUU
rnacentral:lncRNA from 1 species